rnacentral:rRNA from 1 species
AUUGAACGCUGGCGGCAUGCCUUACACAUGCAAGUCGAACGGCAGCACGGGGGCAACCCUGGUGGCGAGUGGCGAACGGGUGAGUAAUGCAUCGGAACGUGUCCUCUUGUGGGGGAUAACCAGCCGAAAGAUUGGCUAAUACCGCAUGAGAUCGCAAGAUGAAAGCGGGGGACCGCAAGGCCUCGCGCGAGAGGAGCGGCCGAUGCCGGAUUAGCUAGUUGGUGGGGUAAAAGCCUACCAAGGCGACAAUCCGUAGCUGGUCUGAGAGGACGACCAGCCACACUGGGACUGAGACACGGCCCAGACUCCUACAGGAGGCAGCAGUGGGGAAUUUUGGACAAUGGGCGCAAGCCUGAUCCAGCCAUGCCGCGUGUGUGAAGAAGGCCUUCGGGUUGUAAAGCACUUUCGGACGGAACGAAAUCGCGCGGACGAACAUUCCGCGUGGAUGACGGUACCGUAAGAAGAAGCACCGGCUAACUACGUGCCAGCCGCCGCAGUAAAAC